CGGGUCGGGCUCCAGGGAAGAACGUUCCAGGGCCACCCAAGGACUCUCAGGCCCCGGGUGCAGCCUGGGGGACCGACGACGCGCGCGCUCCGGGUCCCCGGCCUUGUGCCCCGGGAGACCCCGCCCGCGCUGGUCCCCUCUGGACGCAGAGGCCGCCGCUCGGCGCGCCCCUGGGGCUGGGCCGCCAGUUCCCAGAACAGCUGACCGACUGCAGAGCUAGGACCGCGCGGGAUUAGACAUUGGCGGCUUCUCAGGAUGGUCCAACUUUUUCAAAAGGGCAGCUGGGCAACCCACAGAGGUUAAGCCUCUUGUUCGGAGUCCUGAAGUUCAAAGUGGGAAGGGACCUUAGGCCAAUACAGGUGUCCUUCGCCAGGGCCUUCACACCUGCUCAUGGCCGGAACUCUCGAGGAAAAGGCUUUUGUAGCGAGUCGUUGCAGAAGCAGUGCGCGCCUCCAUCCCCGCAGCCAGAGUGACCUGCCAAGGUCAGCUUCAAGCCUCACAGCUUUGAACUGUCGCUGAACAUCUGGGCUUCAUCUCAGUUUAUUUUCUGCAUCUAUUAGCAAGGUAUGUCCUAAGGUGACUGCUUCACUUUUUGCCGUUUCGGUGUAGGGAAGGUUUCAUAGGAAAGCUCUUCUUUCCAAGAGUGGGGGAGUAUUUGGGGUGCUGUACAGUAUUUGGGGUACUUUGAAAUUUACACAAAACAGGGAGUUCCUGUUGUGGUGCAGUGAAAAUGAAUCCGACUAGUAACCAUGAGGUUCUGAGUUCCAUCCCUGGCCUCGCUCAGUGGGUUAAGGAUACGGCGUUGCUGUGAGCUGUGGUAUAGGCUGGCAGCUGUAGCUCCGAUUGAACCCCUAACCUGGGAACCUCUGUAUGCUGCAAGUUCAGCCCUAAAAAGAAAAAAAAAAAAAGAGUACACAAAAUGGUAAUUUAUCCUGUAUUUUUUUCUGCCACUUCUCUUUUUCACUCCACAUUAUAUUUUUGAGAUCCAUUAGCCUUGAUAAAUAAGGAUCUAGUUCCUUUACUUUAACUACCAUGUAUCAUUCUAUUGAAUGGCCAGACUGCAAUUCAUUUGAGAAAUAGCUCAUUUUUAACUUUUCACAAUUGUAAAUAACACUGCAGUGAACCUGUUGUGCACAUUUCCUUGUGCAAGAGUGGAUCUAAGGCAAACGCCUGCAGAUAGGCAGGGAGGAACUGUCAAGUGUACAUAGUUUGAGCUUCACUGGAUGUGGCCAAGUUGCUUUCAGAGGUGGCCCCAGUUCGCCUCCCACCAGCAACAUAGGAGAUGAUGCAUCCACACUGAGCACGUGGGCUUGUUAGACUCAAAGGCAUUA
rnacentral:lncRNA from 1 species